rnacentral:lncRNA from 1 species
UCCUGGUUUUCGUUUUUGAUCUUUUUGUUUUUGUUUUGUUUGAAUAACCCUCAUCUUUGUUUUGUUUUUCUUUUGAAAUUAGUUUAAUAAAUUAAAUAUUUGAAAGCUCUCAAUAUGUUAUUUGUGCAAGUGUUUUUUUUAUGUGUAUUAUUAAACAAAGAUGACAUGAUUCUGCCAAAUUGCUAGCACAAAAAACAUGAUACUGAUGCAACAACUCAUAACAAAUACCUGAAAAUCAGUGUUACACUAUAGAGAUGUUAAGUGUCGCCUGAAGAAAUAAUAUAGUUUGAUUUUGCAUAGCUAAUUGUUUAUAUGUAAAUCAUGUACUCAUUAAUAUCAAAUAUGUACAUUGAUUAACUUGUACAUAUUCAUGUACU